GGAUACUGCGGCUGCACCUGCUAUAUUCACUGCUGCUGCACCUGCUAUAUUUGAUGAAAGUCAAGAAAGCAUAGACAGAGCAGCUACACUCACAGCUGCAGACAGAGCAGCUGUAAAAGCUGCAAGUAUAGACAAUUAAUUGCAAGAAGAGUUUUAGAGCUGAGGGUUAUCACAAGUUCAUCACAAUGUAAACAAUAUACAAUAGAGUAAUUCUAUUUGAAGAAGAAGAGAGAGAGAGACGCAAAUAAGAAGAGGAGACGGGGACUAGGGAGGCGACCAGUGAGGAUGGUCGUGAUGGUGGGUGCCAGUGACGGUGGCCGGAGAAGGAAAGCAAGCGGAGGCAGGCAGUAGGUGGUACAGUCCAAAAUAGUAUAAACCCAGAUUUUCUUUCUUGGGUAUACAACGUGGGGGAUUGGGGCAAGGCUGGUGGAUGAAAAAAGUCUAUGAUCUUGAUCUACGUUCUUGUGGAAUCUCACCACAAACAAAGUAGGGAGCUCGGAGCGCAAUCCAGUGCUACAAAUGAGGAGAUCUUCACACAGGUUCUAAGGCCUGAUCAACCUGGUCGUGUUUGAACAUAUGGAUGGGGUCCUUCUCCAACAAUUGUCUUUGGAGGUGGAUAUAGGCAGUCACAAGAGCAGGCUCAUCUCAUCUAGACGCAAGUCCAAGAGUAACUUAACCAACAUAAAGUACAAAUGGAGAUGCAAGUGAAGGAGAUGACGGAUACUAUGUUUAGUCAGAUGCAAGGUACAAUCCAAGCUCAACAAGCACGAAUAGAGCUGUUGGAGUCUCAACAAGCCAUGGGUGGGCCUAUUGCACUAGCUGCUACACAUGUGCAUUCACAACAACAAUCCCAUGCGUACACCUCAUCGUUAAUUGCCAUCAUUCAUCCGAGGAAGUUCAAAUAUCAAAGGAAGAAGGAAGAAGGAGAAGAAGUAGAUAGGACAAACACAAUGUCGAAGGGACUCUUAUUUUGCAGUAAGUUUGCUUAUCUCUCUACUUGGCUAUUUAUUUACUGAUAUUGAUACUAAGAUCUUCUGUAUAAUUGCAUAAGGCUUAGUUGCUAGAAUUAUGGUUCAAAAGUAGCAUCGGUACUGAUCAGAGGGUUCUUACUGUUUGCUAGUUUAAAAGUAGUAACUCAAGAACAUUACUUCAUGUUUCAUUUUUAUCUAUUAUCAUUUUAGUUCAAUAAUAUAUUUCCCUUCUUGAUUUGGACACC